rnacentral:lncRNA from 1 species
UCAAUUCUCGACGAAUAUCCUCAAACCAAUUUGGUGCUGGCACGUAACUCUCAGUUGUAGUAGGAUUGUUUUUUGACUGCUCAUUAAUCUCGUCAACAGGAUUUGGAGGCACAAUAAUGAAACCUAAUCCUCUCGGGUGUGGCUUAACCCAACCCAUACCUUGUACUUUUUUAUAACCGAGUGGUCAAUUGGGGCUAAAGGAGGUUGCCUUGCUUCCUCGGCUUCCCACUUUACUCCAACUUGUUGACACAGUCCAGUAAUCAAAAAUGGAUGAGGCAGUCCACCUGAAGUCCCUCCUUGAAUUGUUCUGUCGAUUGAAUCAUGUAUAAUCUGACCCACAUCUAUAGUUUUUCCUUUUGUAAUGCAGAAAAGCAACGCUGCCCGUUGAUUUAUGACAUCACUCAUAGGCCUACACGACAUCAACUUGGCACAAAUAAAGACAUGUCAUGCUCUCCCGUAACUACUCGGUGCGGAUGCAGGAAAAAGAACUGCUUCUUGCUGAUCCGGUAAUUUUCAUUUUGUUCCAGGUACACACAAUGCUUGAAUGAUCUCACUAUAGUUCAGCUCGUGCUCUAGAUAUUGCAUAUAGCCAUUACCAGGUAUUCUGUCCAAGCCGUAGUAAGCAUUUAUUGUCGUGAAACUGACCUCCACUAAUUUUUCGCGAACCCAAACCAUAUUACCGACAACAUCUUUUGCAUUGGCGUAGAAUUCCUUAACAAUUUUUAUGACCGACGGAUCCGAUUUAGAUGUAAAAUUCACCCAUCUUCUGCCUCUGGCUAUAAUCCACGCUCAGGAAUUAGCAUUUUACCAGAAAGCCAAUUGUGAUACCUUUCGGACACACUAGCACUUGUGAAUCUCUUUUUGUCAAACUUUGUUGAAGUGAGGAAAGGAAGUAUGAGUUUCACGUGGUGUACGAAGAGAAAAGAGAGGAGUUUUAGAUGAACUAGGAGAGAAAAUAGAGUUUGAUUUGGGUUGAAAGGAGUGAUUCCCGAUUAAGGCUUAAUUUUUUUUUAAAGUCUAGGCUGGAGCGCCUAGGCGCUUGAUUUUGUAUGGGAUUGACCGCCUAAGCGCUUGAAGACAGAACUUGUUGGUCAGGUAUAGCGACUAGGCGCUUGGAAUGGGCAUGGAGUGAGUGCUUAGAUGCUUGGGGAUUGCUGAGUGUUUUGCAUUUGAGCGCCUAGGCGCUUGUGCCUGACUUGGUGGAUUAUGUGCGUCUUCCAUGCUUCAAACCUGCAUAUCAAAGCUUUAAUUCUCAGUUUUUAGAUUACGAGUUAUACUAAAACCCUAAACUAAGAUAAAAUAUGAUUAAUUUCUUUUAUUUUAGUAUGUUAGUUUAGUUAACUAUAUAUUUUAUCUUAGUUUAGGGUUUUAGUAUAAGUUGUAAUCUCCUUGCAAACAAAAACUGAGAAUUGAAGCUUUGAUAUGUAGGUUGGAAGCAUGGAAGACGUACAAAAUCCACCAAGUCAGUCCCAAGGGCUUAGGCUCCCAAACCAUGCACAAAACAAACGACUAGGUGCUCAAAUGCAGAACACUCAACAUUCCCCAAAUGCCUAGGCGCUACACCUGACUAACAUGUUCUGUCUUCAAGCGCCUAGGCGGUCAAUCCCAUUCAAAAUCAAGCGCCAAGCUCCUGCUAAGACUUUGAAAAAAAAUUUAAGCCCUAAUCGGGUAUCACUCCUUUCGACCCAAAUCAAACUAUUUUCUCUCCUAGUUCAUCUAAAAUUCCUCUAUUUUAUCUUCCUACACCACGGAAACUCAUACUUCCCUUUCCUCACUGUUAGUGCGUCCGAAAGGUAUCAGAAUUGGCUUUCUGGUAAAACGCUAAUUCCUGAGCGUGGAUUAUUGCCAGAGGCAGAAGAUGGGGAGUUACUACAAAUGAUUGGAAGCAGAAGAUGGGUGAAUUUUACAGCUCAACCGGAUCCGUCGGUCAUAAAAAUUGUUAAGGAAUUGUACGCAAAUGCAAAAGAUGUUGUCAGUAACAUGGUUUUGGUUCGCGGAAAACUAGUGGAGGUCAGUUUCACGACAAUAAAUGCUUACUACGGUUUGGACAGAAUACCUAGAAAUGGCUACAUGCAAUAUCUAGAGCACGAGCUGAAUUAUAGUGAGGUCAUUCAAGCAUUGUGAGUACCUGGAACAAAAUGGAAAUUAACAGAUCAGCAAGAAGCAGUUCUUUUUCCUGCAUCCGCACUAAGUAGUUACGGGAAAGCAUGGCAUGUCUUUAUUUGUGCCAAGUUGAUGUCGUGUAGGCAUAUGAGUGAUGUCAUAAAUCAACGUGCAGCGUUGCUUUUCGCCAUUGCAAAAGGAAAAACUAUAGAUGUGGGUCAGGUUAUACAUGAUUCAAUCGACAGAGCAAUUCAAGGAGGGACUUUAGGUGUACUGCCUCAUCCAUCUUUGAUUAUUGGACUGUCAACAAGUUGGAGUAAAGUGGGAAGCCAAGGAAGAAAGACAACCUCCUUUAGCCUCAAUUGACCAUUCGGUUAUAAAAAAGUACAAGGUAUGUGUUGGGGGUAAACCACACCCAAGAGGAUUAGGUUUCAUUAUUGUGCCUCCAGAUCCUGUUGACGAGCCUAAUGAACAGUCAAAUGACAAUCCUACUGCAGUUGAGAGUUACGUGCCAACACCAAAUUUUUUGAGGAUAUUCGUCGAGAAUUGAGACAUCAAACUAGACGGAUUGACAUGGUGGCUACCCAAAUUCAACAGGGUUUUGACCGGGUGGAUAGGAAGCAGAAUAGACUGGCUCAGCGACAAGCGGAGAUAUAUCAGAACUGUAAUGCAUCAUUCAUAGAGAUGUUCAACCGCAUGAAUCCAGCAGGCGCUCCUUUCCAAUUCUGACCAGCUCCACCCUUGUCUGUGUACCCUGACUGACUUAUCCCUGUGAGGAUAAGGUUGAUGAAGAAAAAGCAGAGGAUGUUGACAAGGAGUAAGGCUUCGAUCUUUCAGGGAAGUCCUCAGUACCUAAUUUCUUAUGUUUUUUUUAUAUACAAUGAGGACAUUGCAUAGGUUAAGUUUGGGGGUGCAUUCUUCUAGUUGUAUUGCAAUCAUUUAGUAUUUGCAUUCGUUUAUCAUAACUCAUUCAUCUUGUAGUUUUGCAUGUAGUAGUCAUUCUAAUUUCUAAAAAAAAUGCAUGAAUCCGAGCAUGUCAAUUAGUGCGAGUUUGACUUGGUCAAUGAUGAGAUUGGGAUCGCGUAUACAUUUGAACAGUAUUACAACUGAGACAUGAAUGUAGUGUCGUAUCAUGAUGUAAAUCUUAUCCUGUUUGAAACUGAUGUAACAAGAUAGCACGUUAGGUUGAUCAAAUUAGUUUAAAUGAUCGCAUAAUUGUUUCUUGGGGGAAGUCUUGGUUUUAAUGGAGGGAAAUCGGUAAACUUGUAGUAAAAGCUAGGAUGACGCAAAAAUUUAAGUUUGGGGGAAAAUAUGAGAUUUUUAAAUUAAAAAAAACAUAAAUAAAAAAUUCAAGAAAAAAAUCCAUCUGAAUAAACACGUUGACUGGUUUAGUUCUGUGUCCUUUGUUACUGGAGUAAGUAAGCCCUUAAGGGUGUCUCUACACCCAGCGCCCUAAAACCAUCUGGUUUGAGAGUCGUUGGUCGAAAGCUCGUUACAUAGGUAAUAUUGAAAAGCCUAAGAGAACUAGACAUUGCACGGUCAAGUGUAAACACGAGAAAGAGCAUAAAUGCCCUCGUGAGCAAAGAAAAGAAGAAAUAAAUCCCGUAUUGACUCUGAAUUUGGUGAUCGAGUAGUUUUAGUUGGAGCUUAACUUGUGAACGGAGUUUUUUAAGUUAAAAUUGUGUUUUUUUCUCUAAGAAGCAUAUUAUGUGAUGUAUUUGAACUGUAGUUUAUUUUAAUGGUUGCUAAGCACACACACCCUGCAUCAGUAAUAACAGGCUUUGAUUUAUGGAUUGGUAUGGGUUAUUGAAUUGUCUUGUUUGGAUGUGUUGUUUGAAUCUAUUGUUGAUACCUCCGAGGCAUAUUUGUUUGAUUUCGUACUGACUGAUGGCUGAAUUUGUAGGCAUAUAGUUAAGAUGCAUUUUUUAUUUGCAUUGCUUGGGGACAAGCAGUUGGUUAAGUUUCGGGGUAUUUGAUGAGUAGGUUUUAUACCUAUGAAUCCGAUAUUAUUAAACUUAAUUAUUGAUAUAUUUAAGUGUUUAGUAUCUCUUUGUUUUUUGUGUUUAUUUCUUGUAGGUUGGAGGGACAAAUUGGUCAUUUGGAAGAAGAAAAAGAUCAAAAAUCAUUAAAAUUAGAGCUGAGUGGCAUUUUUGUAAAUACAUGGUCCUGACCAAGCUCCUAGAUGCUUGGAUUUGUACUAGGUUGAGCGCCUAGGCGCUCAUGCAUGAUCAAAGUUGGAUUUUAAAUGCAAGAUAUAAUAAAUAAUUCAAUAAAAAUCAACUUUCAUUCAAUGGGAAGGUUUAAUUUAAACUAUAUACCAAGUUUCGUUGCAAUCUUAAUUAAAGUAUAGUUCAUGAUAAUAAAGGAAAACAUUAUCCAAAUUAAUAAUCCAGACGUCCCAGUUAAUUACAAAAAUAAAAUUAGAGAAAAGAUUAGAAGAACUUGUGAGAUUGCUCCUAAUCCUCCACUUGAUCUUUAGCCUCUGCAAUAUCCUUCGUGUUCUCCUCGUUGGUCUCUUUGCAAAUCUCUUAAUAAUCUCCUCCCUAAAGUCUUUUCCUAUUUUUAUUGGUCCCAACCCUCAUCAAGAUUCUUAAUUGGCUUCAAAAAUAACUCAGCACUAGAAAAAUCCAAUUUUGAUCGUCCAUGAGCGCCUAGGCGCUCAACCUAGUACAAAUCCAAGCGCCCACCACGUAUUUACAAAAAUGCCACUCGGCUCUAAUUUUAAUGAUUUUUGAUGUUUUUUCUUUCAAAUGACCAAUUUGUCCCUCUAACUCCAACCUUCAAGAAAUAAACUCAAAAACACAUAAAAAGAUACUAAAAACACUUAAAGAUGGCAAUAAUUAAGUUUAAUAAUAUCGGAUUCAUAGGUAUAAAGUCUACUCAUCAAAUACCCCACACUUAAUCAAUUCCUUGUCCCCAAGCAAUGCAAAAAAAAAAUGCAUCUCGGAUGUAUCAACAAUAGAUUCAAACAAUACAUCCAAACAAGACAAUUCAAUAACCCAUACCAAUCCAUAAAUCAAAUCUUGUUAUUACUGAUGCAGGGUGUGUGUGCUUAGCAACCAUUAAAAUCAACUAUAGUUUAAAUACAUUGCAUAAUAUGUUUCUUAGAGGAAAAGACACAGUUUUAACUUAGGAAACUCCGUUCACAAACUAAGCUCCAACUAAAUUUACACAAUAACCAAAUUCAGAGUCAAUAUGGGAUUUAUUUCUUUUAUUUGCUCACGAGGGCAUUUAUGAUCUUUCUUGUGUUUACACUUGACUGUGCAAUGUCUAGUUCUCUUAGGCUUUUCAAUGUUACCCAUGUAACGAGCUUUCGACUAAUGACUCCCAAAACAGAUGGCUUUAGGGGUCUAAGGGUAGAGACACCCCUAAGGGCUUACUUACUCCAGUAACAAAGGCCACAAAACUAAACUAGUCAACAUGUUUAUUCAUAUGAUUUUUUUUUUGUAUUUUCUAUUUUUUUUCUUACUUAAAAAUCCCAUAUUUUCCCCCAUACUUGAUUUUUUGCGUCAUCGUAACUUUUACUACAAGUUUACCGAUUUUUCUUCAUUAAAACCAAGAUUUCCCGAAGAAGACAAUUUUGCGAUCAUUUAAACUAAGUUUAUCAAAAUGAUAAACCUAACGUGCUAUCUUGUUACAUCAGUUUCAAACAUGAUAAGAUUUACAUAAUGAUACGACACUACAUUCAUGUCUCAGUUGUAAUACUGUUCAAAUGUAUACGCGAUCCCAAUCUCAUCAUGGGCCAAGUCAAACUCGCAGUAAUUGACAUGUUCGGAUUCAUGCAUUUUUUUUAGAAAUUAGAAUGACAACUACAUGCAAAACUACAAGAUGAAUGAGUUAUGCUACACGAAUGCAAAUACUAAAUGAAUGCAACUAAAUGAUUGGAAUACAACUAGAAGAAUGCACCCCCAAACUUAACAUAUGCAAUGUCCUCAUUGUAUAUAAUAAAAACCAUAAGAAUUUAGGUACUGAGGACUUCCUUGAAAGAUCGAAGCCUUACUCCUCGUCAACAUCCUCUGCUAAUUCUUCAUCAACCUCAUCCUCAGGGGGUAAGUCACUCGGGGGUACACAGACAAGGGUGGAGGUGGUCGGAAUUGGUAAGGAGCACCUGCUGGAUUCAUGCGGUUGAACAUCUCUAUGAAUGAUGCAGUAUAGUUCUGAUAUAUCUCCGCUUGUCGUUAAGCCAAUCUAUUCUGUUUCCUAUCCACCCGGUCAAAACCCUGUUCAAUUUGGGUAGCCACCAUGUCAAUCCGUCUAGUUUGAUGUCUCAAUUCUCGACGAAUAUCCUCAAACCAAUUUGGUGCUGGCACGUAACUCUCAGUUGUAGUAGGAUUGUUUUUUGACUGCUCAUUAAUCUCGUCAACAGGAUUUGGAGGCACAAUAUUGAAACCUAAUCCUCUCGGGUGUGGCUUAACCCAACCCAUACCUUGUACUUUUUUAUAACCGAGUGGUCAAUUGGGGCUAAAGGAGGUUGUCUUGCUUCCUCGGCUUCCCACUUUACUCCAACUUGUUGACACAGUCCAAUAAUCAAAAAUGGAUGAGACAGUCCACCUGAAGCCCCUCCUUGAAUUGUUCUGUCGAUUGAAUCAUGUAUAACCUGACCCACAUCUAUAGUUUUUCCUUUUGAAAUGUAGAAAAGCAACGCUGCCCGUUGAUUUAUGACAUCACUCAUAGGCCUACACGACAAUAACUUGGCGCAAAUAAAGACAUGUCAUGCUUUCCCGUAACUACUCGUUGCGGAUGCAGGAAAAAGAACUGCUUCUUGCUGAUCCGGUAAUUUUCAUUUUGUUCCAGGUACACACAAUGCUUGAAUGAUCUCACUAUAGUCCAUCUCGUGCUCUAGAUAUUGCAUAUAGCCAUUACCAGGUAUUCUGUCUAAGCCGUAGUAAGCAUUUAUUGUCGUGAAAUUGACCUCCACUAAUUUUUCGCGAACCCAAACAAUAUUACCGACAACAUCUUUGGCAUUGGCGUAGAAUUCCUUAACAAUUUUUAUGACUGACGGAUCCGGUUUAAAUGUAAAAUUCACCCAUCUUCCACCUCUGGCUAUAAUCCACGCUCAGGAAUUAGCAUUUUACCAGAAAGCCAAUUGUGAUACCUUUCGGACACACUAGCACUUGUGAAUCUCUUUUUGUCAAACUUUGUUGAAGUGAGGAAAGGAAGUAUGAGUUUCACGUGGUGUACGAAGAGAAAAGAGAGGAGUUUUAGAUGAACUAGGAGAGAAAAUAGAAUUUGAUUUGGGUUGAAAGGAGUUAUGCCCGAUUAAGGCUUAAUUUUUUUUUAAAGUCUGGGCAGGUGCGCCUAGGCGCUUGAUUUUGUAUGGGAUUGGCCACCUAAGCGCUUGAAGACAGAACGUGUUGGUCCGGUAUAGCGAUUAAGCGCCUGGAAUGGGCAUGGAGUGAGUGCUUUGACGCUUGGGGAUUGCUGAGUGUUCUGCAUUUGAACGCCUAGGCGCUUGUGCCUGACUUGGUGGAUUAUGUGCAUCUUCCAUGCUUCAAAUCUGCAUAUCAAAGCUUCAAUUCUCAGUUUUUAGAUUACGAGUUAUACUAAAACCCUAAACUAAGAUAAAAUAUGAUUAAUUUCUUUUAUUUUAGUAUGUUAGUUUAGUUAACUCUAUAUUUUAUCUUAGUUUAGGGUUUGAGUAUAAGUUGUAAUCUCCUUGCAAACAAAAACUUAGAAUUGAAGCUUUGAUAUGUAGGUUGGAAGCAUGGAAGACACACAAAUUGAGAAUUGAAGCUUUGAUAUGUAGGUUGGAAACAUGGAAGACGUACAAAAUCCACCAAGUCAGUCCCAAGCGCUUAGGCGCCCAAACCAUGCACAAAACAAGCGACUAGGCGCUCAAAUGCAAAACACUCAACAUUCCCCAAACGCCUUGGCGCUACACCUGACUAACACAUUCUGUCUUCAAGCGCUUAGGCGGUCAAUCCCAUUCAAAAUCAAGCGCCAAGCUCCUGCUAAGACUUUGAAAAAAAAAUUAAACCCUAAUCGGGAAUCACUCCUUUCAACCCAAAUCGAACUAUUUUCUCUCCUAGUUCAUCUAUAACUCCUCUAUUUUCUCUUCCUACACCACGUGAAACUCAUACUUCCCUUUCCUCAUUGUUAGUGCAUCCGAAAGGUAUCAGAAUUGGCUUUCUGGUAAAACGCUAAUUCCUGAGCGUGGAUUAUUGCCAGAGGCAGAAGAUUGGGAGUUACUACAAAUGAUUGAAAACAGAAGAUGGGUAAAUUUUACAGCUCAACCGGAUCCGUCGGUCAUAAAAAUUGUUAAGGAAUUCUACGCCAAUGCAAAAGAUGUUGUCAGUAACAUGGUUUGGGUUCGCGGAAAAUUAGUGGAGGUCAGUUUCACGACAAUAAAUGCUUACUACGGCUUGGACAGAAUACCUAGAAAUGGCUACAUGCAAUAUCUAGAGCACGAGCUGGAUUAUAGUGAGGUCAUUCAAGCAUUGUGAGUACCCGGAACAAAAUGGAAAUUAACAGAUCAGCAAAAAACAGCUUUUUCCUACAUCCGCACUAAGUAACGGGAAAGCAUGACAUGGCUUUAUUUGUGCCAAGUUGAUGUCGUGUAGGCAUAUGAGUGAUGUCAUAAAUCAACGGGCAGCGUUGCUUUUCGCCAUUGUAAAAGGAAAAACUAUAGAUGUGGGUCAGGCUAUACAUGAUUCAAUCGACAGAGCAAUUCAAGGAGGGACUUUAGGUGUAUGCCUCAUCCAUCUUUGAUUAUUGGACUAUGUCAACAAGUUGGAGUAAAGUGGGAAGGCAAGGAAGCUAGACAACCUCCUUUAGCCCCAAUUGACAUUUCGGUUAUAAAAAAAGUACAAGGUAUGUGUUGGGGGUAAACCACACCCGAGAGGAUUAGGUUUCAUUAUUGUGCCUCCAGAUCCUGUUGACGAGCCUAAUGAACAGUCAAAUGACAAUCCUACUGCAGUUGAGAGUUACGUGCCAACACCAAAUUUUUUGAGGAUAUUCGUCGAGAAUUGAGACAUCAAACUAGACGGAUUGACAUGGUGGCUACCCAAAUUCAACAGGGUUUUGACCGGGUGGAUAGGAAGCAGAAUAGACUGGCUCAGCGACAAGUGGAAAUAUAUCAGAACUGUAAUGCAUCAUUCAUAGAUAUGUUCAACCGCAUGUAUCCAGCAGGCGUUCCUUACCAAUUCCGACCAGCUUCAUCCUUGUCUGUGUACCCUCGACUGACUUAUCCCCUGUGAGGAUAAGGUUGAUGAAGAAGAAGUAGAGGAUGUUGACAAGGAGUAAGGCUUCGAUCUUUCAGGGAAGUCUUCAGUACCUAAUUUCUUAUGUUUUUUUUAUAUACAAUGAGGACAUUGCAUAUGUUAAGUUUGGGGGUGCAUUCUUUUAGUUGUAUUGCAAUCAUUUAGUUGCAUUUAUUUAGUAUUUGCAUUCGUUUAUCAUAACUCAUUCAUCUUGUAGUUUUGCAUGUAAUUGUCAUUCUAAUUUCUAAAAAAAUGCAUGAAUCCGAGCAUGUCAAUUAGUACGAGUUUGACUUGGCCAAUGAUGAGAUUGGGAUCACGUAUACAUUUGAACAGUAUUACAACUGAUACAUGAAUGUAGUGUCGUAUCAUGAUGUAAAUCUUAUCCUGUUUGAAACUGAUGUAACAAGAUAGCACGUUAGGUUGAUCAAAUUAGUUUAAAUGAUCGCAUAAUUGUUUCUUGGGGGAAGUCUUGGUUUUAAUGGA